rnacentral:tRNA from 1 species
GGGGAUUUAGCUCAGUGGUAGAGCACUUGCCUGGCAAGUACAAGGCCCUGGGUUCGAUCCCCAGCUCCA